GCGGUGGAUGAUGUGGUUUAAUUCGAUGCAACGCGAAAACCUUACCCACCUUUGACAUGUACGGAAGCCUUUAGAGAUAGAGGCGUGCUCGAAAGAGAGCCGUAACACAGGUGCUGCAUGGCUGUCGUCAGCUCGUGUCGUGAGAUGUUGGGUUAAGUCCCGCAACGAGCGCAACCCUUGUCAUUAGUUGCUACAUUCAGUUGGGCACUCUAAUGAGACUGCCGGUGACAAGCCGGAGGAAGGUGGGGAUGACGUCAAGUCCUCAUGGCCCUUAUAGGUGGGGCUACACACGUGCUACAAUGGUCGGUACAACGGGAAGCAAUACCGCGAGGUGGAGCAAAUCCUGAAAACCGGCCUCAGUUCAGAUUGCAGUCUGCAACUCGACUGCAUGAAGUCGGAAUCGCUAGUAAUCGCGGAUCAGCAUGCCGCGGUCGAAUACGUUCCCGGGCCUU
rnacentral:rRNA from 1 species